UACCAGGCUCCAUUGUGGAGAGAAUGGAGAGCUUGACAGAGGUCCUGGGGACCAGCUCCUGCUUCUUCACCCACAGAGGCAGCUGUUGGGGACCCGCUGAAGGCUGGGCUCAAACCAGAAGACUGUUGCCUGCGGGGCUCUUCAAGGUCACUGAGUGGAGAGACCCAGGGAAAUCCCAAGAAGGGACGGCAGAGGGGCCAGACGGUGACGGUGGAAAGGGAGCUGCUUGAGGCAGCAGGGUGAAACUGGGCCUCUUCGCCAGGUGAGGUGUUUAACCCAAGCCACCUGUCUUGUCACCACACAAACAGGCCAGCUGUUGACACAACACCCCACGUGGAAAGGGUCUGAGGAGGCCCCUGACCUGGGAGUGCUGUAUCUGAUGAGGCCCCACCUUGGUCCCCCUUCCUGCCCCCAAAGUCUGCUCCCCCCAGCUCUCCCAGCUGCUGAAACUGGACUCCACUUCAGACAGGGACUGACUCUGUCUCUGGCCAACAGCCACGCUGUCACCAACCCAGGCAGUCACACUGAUGAACAUGAGGCCCCUCAAGCUCGUCCCAAGCAAGACCCUGAGAGCCUUUUUUUUUUUUUUUUUCUUUCAAAUGCAGUUCUUUUCCAACAUUGCCUGCAACAGCUUUGGUGCAGGGAUCUGGGGGCGGGGUAGGAUGGGGAAGGCACGUGAAGAAAAGAAAGGAAAAAAACAGCCAAUUGCACAAAGCCUUUCCCCGGAAAAGCCCAGGCUCUGGGGGUGGUCAGGACGUGUGGCUCCCUCCCCCCCACCCCCUGGUUGAGGCACAGAUAGGGAUUCGUUCCAUUCCCCAUGGGAAGGAGCUGUCUGGAGAGGGAGGGAGCCGGCGUGGGGGUCUGCGCGUGCGUGCGUGUGCAUAUAUAUAUUUGUAUGUAUAAUAGGCUAUAUUAGAAAAUUCUCUAUGUAUAAAUAUAAAACACUGAUAUCCAAACAUGACACCGCAGCGAACUAAAGUGCUUGCCAGGAGCUGGGCAUGUGUAAGUACGCAGCUAAAACCAUUCAUCCUGAGUGCCCAGGACAUGGGAGGAGCUGGGGAAGCAAACACAUGGGGAAAGGGGGUGCUGACACCCCCCUGCCCCGCCCAUCUGGUUACCACAUCAACACCAUGCACGCCUCAUCUCCCCCUUUGCCCUACUUUCCCCACUGUGCUUCUGUCCACGAGGAGAACAGCGCUGGAAAGCUGGCAUGGGGGAGGGCUGUGCCCACGACUUCCUCCGCCCACAGGGCUGGGCGUGAAGGGCAGGAGGGACAGAGGAUUACUGUCAUAAUUAAUAAUUUGCAGAAUGAAACACCACUGCUCCUCUAGGCUAGGCCCUGCCAUCUCGCCUCCCGGGCCCCCUGCCUGGGUCAGGGCUGGAGGGAGGAAGCCUUGGGGCAGCUGACCCGGGGAGCUGCCCUUUGAUCUGCAAGCCCCAAGCAAAGCAUCAGCACCUCCACCAUCCCCAGCCCCCCACCCUGCAAAACAAGACCCAUCUGGUCUCAGACCCGCAGAAAUGCCACAGGCUAGUGGUCAUCAGAGCUCCAGGGAGAAGAGGGGCCCAGAGAGCAGGCCCCCCCAGGACACAGUGCUACAAGAAGGGGUUGGUGGUCGGAGGUUUGGAGGCAAAUGGGCUUGAUGAGGAUCCAGUCUAGAAAGAAACAACCACAAAUCGUUAGAUUAGGGAGGAAAAGCCGGAGGCCCCAGACGAAGUGCAGCUCAGGAUUCUUUUUCCCUCAAAAUAACUGGGGAGGUGAGGUGGGGGGAGUGUGGACAACGGUGGGGCCGAGACGAGGUUCCCUCACAAGCCCACGCUUCCCUGCUUGGAGUUUCACGAGGAAGGGGAAUGAGGGGUCCCACGUGGCCCUCUGCUCCUGCAGCGGUUCUGUCCCCAGCCCCCAGCAUGAAAGGCCCCGUCCCACACCCGGGCUGGCACCGCACUGGGACGCUCACCAUGAAGGGGUUGGUGGAGAUCCCGGCCGGCUGGCUCAGGGGCCUCUGCCCCAGCUUGGCGGGUCCCAGGUCUCCGAAGGAAGAGCCUGGGAGGCAAGAGGAAAAGCUCAGCUGCCGCCCCUGUGCCCGGCUCCCUGCAGGGCAGGCACAGCCACAUCCCGAGGCUGAAGCAGCCAGAGGGGCCUUCCCAAGGGCGGCAGUGACCGUGUGGAACAGUCAGGGGGCACAGGCAGGUCUGUGGCUUCCCUGGUCCCCGCUUCCUGGCCCAGAGGGGCGCUAGCUCAGAGGGCCAUCUCCACGGUACAUACUCCUGACUGGUUCUCUCACCAGGGCCGCCGGGUGGGCAUGGGGAGAGAGGAGGGCAGUCUGAAGGUCUGAAUCCCUUACCGUCCGGCUGCUGCGGUCCGGAGGGCUGAGCGGGGAAGAGCGCGGGUGGGAAGGGGCUGGAAAAGGCCCCAGCAGUGGGGGGCACUGUCUGGGGGAAGCCAGGCCCCGCACUGCUCAUCCCGAAGCCGGGUCCUGUGGGGGGAGGGACGGGGGGCUCAGGUGAGGUUCUGGAAGGUACGCGGGAGCAGAGUUCUUCCUAAGUCCCUCCAAGGUGGGGAAAUGUGGUGUUGUCUUUUCCUACCCAGAGGCCCCCAGUGGAGGGACCCCGACCGAGCUUCCACGCAUCCUGCCAAACCUGCCCUCUCCUGCCCGUGGCCCGGAGAGCCGGGUGGUUAUGAGCAUGGGUACAGGAUGGAACUGGGGGCAGCUGCCCUUAAAUGGCAUAAACUAACGCUGUUCUCCCAUCUCUAAGACUGGGGCCAAGCCGUGAAAGUCAGACAACAGCGGCAAAGCCCCAGUUGUUGGGCCUGCCUCAUGGGUCAGCUUGGUAGCAAAUAUGAUGUUCUCUUCCUGGCCUCAAGGCUUUGAGAACCAAAAAAAAAAAAAAGGGGGGGGGGUAUGAGCUUGAAGCUGAGAAGACCCCAGGGCUCUGGCUGAGAGGGCAGGGGAUGGGGCCGUGGUGUCAGGUGGAGCCGGAGAGGAGGAGGAGGCUGGGCUCCCAGCGGGAAGCCAAGGGCGGCUCAGGUGAGAGGUGCAAUUCUUUCUAACUCUGAGGUUUUGAUUUGCAGACUGAGUGCCUCUACUUUUUGCCCACUAGGUGGCUUGGAAAUUAAACCGGUCUGUCCUGGGCUGGUGACUCUGGAGUCAGGGCCGGGGGGGACGUCGGGGAGGCUUACCUGUGGCCAAACCAUUGGGCUGGAACGGGUUGGUGGAAGGCAGCUGGGGGUGAGCAGCAGGUGCCGUGAAGGGGUUGAAGGCUGCUCAGGUGGCGUGGGGUAGAGGCAGGAGGAAGGAUGGUUAUUUUUCCUCAUUUGGUUAAUAUCGUGGUAACAGCAUCCGUCUCAGCCCUGCUCCGCCUCUCCCCCCUCCUCCCUGUCCAGAGUCUCCGAUUUCCUUCUGGGUGGCUACACGAGACUCACCUCCAAAGGCAAGCCCUGUGCUGCUGCCUCCACCAGUGGGGGCCGACUGAAGCGUGGGGACCUGGCUGGCUAUCCCGAAGACGCUGCCAUACGAGGAGAGAAGUCAGCAUGCACGUCAUCCAGCACCAAGGGGGUCAGGCUGCUGUGUGUGUCCAGACCCCGGGUUAAGGGGUCUUCCCUGUGCUGGGUGCUGAGCGCUCCUGACCGGCCCCAGCUCUGACUUGGAGAGCCCGAGAUUCGGGCGGGGACGACAGAUGCCAGGGCCCGCCGGCCGAGAGGUUCCAGAGGUGGGCUGCUUCUUGAGGGAGAGCCAACGCUCAGAAGACGGAGCUCUCCUUGGCCACUCUCCUCCCGUCCCCUGGCUUCCCAGAGGAACAGUGCGGGACUUCACCCCUCUCUGAUCCACAGGCCCCGAGGAAGCCGGGAAAACCUGAGACCUUGUGCUGGAUCUUCUGCUUCUCAGACCCCAGCCUUGCCUUUGCCUGCCUGACUUGAGGUACGAGGAAUUUCCAGGGGGAUGCAGCUCCCUGUCCUCACUUAGGCCUGACUCUUCAGUCCUGCUCUGGGCCCUGGGGUCCGGGCGAGCCCAUGGGUGCAGACCAGCUCCUGGGCCCUCCAGGCCUGCAGAGCUGUGCCGCCUGGUGGGCACUAGAGGGCAGAGGCGGGCCUCGCUCCCCGGGCGGGCGCCCUGCACAGAGGGCCAUUCUCAGAAAGGAGGCCAAGGCUGGGAGGACCCGGGAGCAGCCGCGCUCCUGAUGGCUUCUUAGCCACUUCCAGAGCCUCACUUUCCACAGCUGGAUUUGUGGACUGAGCUUCUAAGAGUUUCAGGAAAACUGCACUUUUAGAAACCUCCCCUUCUCCCUACUCCCCCUCAGAUAUAAAAAUACAGCUGGGCUUGUCAGAGAGACACCCGCCUCUCACUCAGAUCUUCCUACUUUGUACCCAGUGGUUCUUCGUGGCACACGCACAGGGACACCCUUGUGAUCACGGUGUGCUGGGAAGUGAAUGGCAUCCGCCACUCAUCUGACACCUGGGUUUUGGCCAAGUCAUUGGCCAAGCGGAGCCAGUGUCCUCAGCUACAAAAUGGGGAACUUUCUUUCCUCAGGGAGCUACUACGGGGGCGUCCUUGCACACUAUUGGGGUGCUGGGGGGCUCUGCGUCCACUGCGGGCUGACACUGGACAGAAGGUUCAGCCCAGGACAGCUCCGGGGCGGAGGCCUCCCUUCUCUCCUCGGCGCGCACUCUGAUGAGUCGCGCGAGGAAAGCAGCUCUAAAUGUGGCCGUUCCUAACUACCUUGGCCCCAUUCCCGGGACCACCGCUCUCUCUCGCUAAACUCAGCAUUCCCGUAGUCGUUUACACCCUUACCAACAGCACACACAAGGCCUAUUUCCCCACCCAAUACUGGCCAUUAUAAAUCUUUAAAACUUGUGUGAAUAUAAUGUGCCACAUUAUUAUCUUAUCUUAAUUUGUGUUUUCUCUGAUGAGUUAGGUUGAGGUCAUUUUCAAUUUGUGAUUUUAUUUCCCUUUGGGGUAGAAUUUACUUCUAACCCUUGUCCAUUAUUCUAAUCUCUCUUAUUCAGAGGAAUUUAAAAAGGCAUCUAUAAAGGGUGGGGAAAAAAAUGUAUACAUGUAAGAGUAACUUGAUCCCCAUGCUGUAGGGCGGGAAAAAAUAAAAAAAUAAAAUAAAAAGGCAUCUAUGUUAAGGUUACUAACUUUUUGUUUGUUUUCCACAUUGUAAGUAUGUAUCUUCUCCUUAGAUGCUUCAGGUCUUUAAGGACAUGAAAUAUUGUUUUAGGAAAUUUUUUUUUGCUUUCUAGGGCCGCACCUGCAG